rnacentral:lncRNA from 1 species
CCGAAGAGUGCAUGUAUGUUUUAUUCUCUGGUUCACACCCUUGGAUAAACUCAUAACUUAAAUUCUUUUCAAGUAUACUCUCAAUGUUCCCAUCUGCCCUGUCCUGAGUGGAUGGGACAAGGACAUGUAUUCAUUUAUUACAUCUGGCAUAGCUGUGUUACACGGGAAUGUUUUCUAUUCCAGGUGAGAAAACGAAGUCGGUAAAAAUAGCUCCAUCCUGGCCAAGAACACUGUGCAGCUCAGCAGAACAUGGAGAGGAGUGGCCCACCGGAAGCGGACAACGGAUGGCUCACAGAAAGAAGCGGUGGCUGCAGGCGUCCUGAGUAAAAGAAGAGAGUGAUCGGUUUCUAGCACCGCCUUGAAUUCUUUCAUUUCUGUACAUAUAUAGGUAAUAUUAACACACACAUGUAACCUGAGUGAGUUUCCCUUUCUUUCAGUCAGAGGGUUUAAUAUAGUCCCCAGACUAAGUCUUUCUUAUUUUCUGGAAUGUGACCUAGUGUGUGUCACCCCGAUUGGCCUGGAGACAAGGGCUGUGACCGAAGACGCAUAUCACGUGCUGUCUGACACAGAGGAGUCUGCACACACUCACGGAAGGCGUCCUUCCACCUCAGAGAUUAGAGAACAGCUGAUGCGGGGGCCGAGGUAAUCUCUGAAAGAACUUUGUGAAGUUUUUUUUAAAGUUCUUUAAAAGUCAUUUAAAAAGGUCUUAGAACUCACGGACACAAAGAAAAAAAGUAACAGUCCUAACAGGUAAAAAUGAGUGUGUGAUGACGUCACCCCUAGUGUGCCGAGGAGGAAACGGGAGCUCCUCGGGGGGAGCUCCGUGACCCCUGGUAAAGGUGAAGAUGGGCCUAUGCCCUCGCAGGUGUCUGCCGGAGAGACCCCUGCAGACGUUACAGGGAGACAUGUACAAAGACGUCUGGGGUGGUGCUGCUUGUAAUAAAAAUAUUUCAUGUAGUGAGUGAAAAUGGGUGAGAAAUGGAAGCAUCUUAAGUAUAGUUUGUUCUGCGUCCCUAUAAGCCUCGUUAGAAUUCUCGGGGACAGUUAUCAUCCCAUUGCACAGAUGAGGAAACCGAAUCCCAGAGACACCACAUACUUUGCCCGAGCAGAGUGAGUGGCCGAGCCAGGAUUCCCAGCCUGACUCCAGAGCCCUUAUCCUCACGCACGCGGCUUCUGCAACUUUCCUCUGAACCGGCAUAGGAACGGAAACGAG